GAUGAACGCUAGCGCUAGGCUUAACACAUGCAAGUCGAGGGGCAGCAUGGUCUUAGCUUGCUAAGACUGAUGGCGACCGGCGCACGGGUGCGUAACGCGUAUGCAACUUGCCUCACAGAGGGGGAUAACCCGUCGAAAGACGGACUAAUACCGCGUACACUCCAUCUUGGGCAUCCAAGGUAGAGGAAAUGAAAUUCGCUGUGAGAUAGGCAUGCGUCCCAUUAGCUAGUUGGUGAGGUAACGGCUCACCAAGGCGACGAUGGGUAGGGGAACUGAGAGGUUGAACCCCCACACUGGUACUGAGACACGGACCAGACUCCUACGGGAGGCAGCAGUGAGGAAUAUUGGUCAAUGGGCGAGAGCCUGAACCAGCCAAGUCGCGUGAAGGAUGACUGUCUUAUGGAUUGUAAACUUCUUUUAUACGGGAAUAACAAGAGUCACGGGUGACUCCCUGCAUGUACCGUAUGAAUAAGCAUCGGCUAACUCCGUG
rnacentral:rRNA from 1 species